CCUACGGGGGACAGCAGUGAGGAAUAUUGGUCAAUGGGCGGGAGCCUGAACCAGCCGCGUCGCGUGAGGGAAGACGGUCCUACGGAUUGUAAACCUCUUUUGCCGGGGAGCAACGGGGUCCUUGCGAGGGCCCGAUGAGAGUACCCGGAGUAAAAGCAUCGGCUAACUCCGUGGCAGCCGCCGCGGUAAUACGGAGGAUGCGAGCGUUAUCCUGAUUUAUUGGGGUUAAGGGGUGCGUAGGCGGGCUGUUAAGUCAGCGGUCACAUGCCGGGGCUCAAACCCAGCCUGCCGUUUAAACUAGCGGCCUCGAGUGGGCGAGAAGUAUGCGGAAUGCGUGGUGUAGCGGUGAAAUGCAUAGAUAUCACGCAGAACUCCGAUUGCGAAGGCAGCAUACCGGCGCCCGACUGACGCUGAGGCACGAAAGCGUGGGUAUCGAACAGGAUUAGAUACCCUUGUAGUC
rnacentral:rRNA from 1 species